GCAAGUCGAGCGAGACCUUCGGGUCUAGCGGCGGACGGGUUAGUAACGCGUGGGAACGUACCCUUUUCUAAGGAAUAGCCACUGGAAACGGUGAGUAAUGCCUUAUACGCCCUUCGGGGGAAAGAUUUAUCGGAGAAGGAUCGGCCCGCGUUAGAUUAGAUAGUUGGUGGGGUAAUGGCCUACCAAGUCUACGAUCUAUANCUGGUUUGAGAGGAUGAUCAGCAACACUGGGACUGAGACACGGCCCAGACUCCUACGGGAGGCAGCAGUGGGGAAUCUUAGACAAUGGGCGCAAGCCUGAUCUAGCCAUGCCGCGUGAGUGAUGAAGGCCUUAGGGUCGUAAAGCUCUUUCGCCUGUGAAGAUAAUGACUGUAGCAGGUAAAGAAACCCCGGCUAACUCCGUGCCAGCAGCCGCGGUAAUACGGAGGGGGUUAGCGUUGUUCGGAAUUACUGGGCGUAAAGCGCGCGUAGGCGGACAUUUAAGUCAGAGGUGAAAUCCCAGGGCUCAACCCUGGAACUGCCUUUGAUACUGGGUGUCUUGAGUUCGAGAGAGGUGAGUGGAAUUCCGAGUGUAGAGGUGAAAUUCGUAGAUAUUCGGAGGAACACCAGUGGCGAAGGCGGCUCACUGGCUCGAUACUGACGCUGAGGUGCGAAAGUGUGGGGAGCAAACAGGAUUANAUACCCUGGUAGUCCACACCGUAAACGANGAAUGC
rnacentral:rRNA from 1 species